AUUUAUAUAGUUUAAUUAAAACAUUAUAUUUUCAUUAUAAAAAUAAUAUUUUAUUUAUAAAUU
rnacentral:tRNA from 1 species